CUCUGUGGAAAAACAGACUUGUUUUAUGUUCUUGAGUGACUGAUGGAUGUCUUGCUAUAGUGACCUGACUGUAGAGUUUAGAACUCUGUACUAAAGAAGGGUUUUUUAAAUUUUUUUGUUGUUAAACUGUAUGUAAAUUUUUUUGCUCAGAGGAGAUUGGGGUUAUCCUUGUAUGGCUUAGGGAGGUGGAGUAAGGUACUCUGGAAAACUGUGUUAGUAAUUGUAGAAAGAUAAGAAACAGUCUUGUGCAUUACCAUUGCUUCCUAGAAUAGUUUGGUUUUGUUUUGUUUGUUUGAUUUUUUUUUUAAUAGUAGCAGUUCAUACAAUCAGGCUGUAUAUGGCAGGUGUAAUUAAGGGGUUUUUUUGGAGGGGGGGAUCAUGUGCAUGCUAUUGUGAAACAACAGUCUGUUAAGUGGAAUGGUGCCCUAAAGGAAACUUUUCUGAAUUGGGUGUUACAGGAAAGUAUUCCCUUUAUGUAGAUAAGGCCAUGAAAAGAUGGAAAGAAAAUUUUUUGAGAAGGGAAAAAAAAAAAAAAAGAAAAGCUUGCCUCUUGAUCCUGUGUUAUUGAAUACACUUAUGGUCUUGUGGGGAUCUGCAAAAGAUAAGCAAUUCUAUAGCCAGGUGUUGAAAAUUUAAAUAUUGUUUAAAAGUGCUGUAUAAAAAUGAAAGUAAUCAUUUAUGCUUUCAAUUGAAAGGUAACAUGUGAGAGUACUGCCCUUAUUUCUUUCCAUUUACUUAAACAAAAAACCCAACAAAAAACUCCCCCACGCUAGAGCAAGAUAGUCAAUUAUGUUAAUCCGACUUUCUCUGCAAAACAAAUGUGACCAAUCAGUUUGAAAAGAUAGUAGAAGGUUUUUGUUUGCUUGUGUUUAGCCUUUUUAUGGUGCUUAUCUAGUUAGUUUCAUUGUUUCCCCCCACCCCCCUUUUCCCCCCUUCUUUCACAGUAUGGGGGGAGCUAUUAACCCUUUGAAAUGUGCUGUUUUCUGUUUUUUCAAACUUUAUAAAAUACAGUGCUUCUGUAACAGUGGCCUUUUGCUAUUGAAAUAAUGGGAAAACAGUCACGGAAGGAAGGUAGAGCUAGAGUGUAUCUUCACAGGGAGGAGAACCAUGCAGGCCUGUGUGAGACCUUAGGCUGGUAUCUAUCCAUUGGGCCAGGGAGGCUGGGUCACAGCUAGUCCUGAAUGACAGGUUCUUUAACAGCGGGAUUGCCAGAGGCUCCCUGUCUGAGAAAGGGACUUUAAAGAGAGCUUUUUCUUACUGAUCCAGCACUCCUACUACUUGUUUGUUUUAAACUAACAAGACAACCACCCAAACUUAAACCCCUGUAUGUUACAGGGUGGGGAGAAACUUCAUCAGACGGAUGGCUAGUUAAUGGCAUGAGAGGUUCCUUUCAAAAUUUUGUGUUGAGCAUUUAAAAUAUGGGGCAAAUGAUGUGGCAAAACAGAUAUGCACUCCUUUUACAUUGUGAAAGUAAAACCUUGUAGGUCCUUCCAGGUAAUUUUCAUAAGCAUCUGUCAAAUCUGACUUUGUGGAACUUCAGGAAAUAACUGUCUGCAUUACAGUUUUUCCAAAUUUCCAGUUUCCUGGUUUUUGGUGGUAACUGUCAAUUCUGGAAACGUGAGCUGGUAGUUGAUUUCUGGUAAUUAAAGAUGUAUGGAGAAAUCUACUUGAAAAAUUAAGAACUGGAUGGUCUUGUAAUGCCUCUUCUCUACAAGCAGAUUACCUAAGCCAAGAAAACAUCCAGUGUUCACAGUGACCAUCACUGAAAAUCUGUAGGUGUUUCACAGAAUGCUGUAAUUGUUUGAGCCAUCUGUCUGUUAACUGCCUGCAUAUACGAAUCUGCCUUGAAGAGUAUUUUUAAAGAGUUGUAGCAUUUUUUGUGGGUAUGCAAUGAUAAAACGUUCACUAUUAAUUAGCCUGUUACCUUUCAGCUCCAAUGGCGAUUCCUCCAUCAUAUGUAGACCUUGGCAAAUCUGCCAGAGAUAUCUUCAAUAAAGGAUAUGGUUUUGGGUUAGUGAAACUGGAUGUGAAAACAAAAUCUGCAAGCGGAGUGGAAUUCACAACAUCAGGUUCAUCGAACACAGACACUGGAAAAGUGAAUGGGAGCUUGGAGACCAAAUACAAGUGGGCUGAGUAUGGGCUGACUUUCACAGAAAAAUGGAACACAGAUAACACUCUGGGAACAGAAAUUGCAAUUGAAGAUCAGAUUGCCAAAGGCUUGAAGUUGACAUUUGAUACAACUUUCUCACCAAAUACAGGAAAGAAAAGUGGUAAAAUUAAGUCAGCUUAUAAACGUGAAUGCCUAAACCUAGGUUGUGAUGUUGACUUUGAUUUUGCUGGACCUGCAAUCCAUGGUUCAGCUGUCUUUGGUUAUGAAGGCUGGCUUGCUGGUUACCAGAUGACUUUUGAUAGUGCCAAAUCAAAAUUGACAAGAAAUAACUUCUCUGUGGGUUACAAGACUGGAGACUUCCAACUGCACACUAACGUCAAUGAUGGUUCAGAAUUUGGUGGGUCAAUUUACCAGAAAGUGAGUGACAAUCUUGAAACUGCUGUAAACCUGGCUUGGACAGCAGGUAGCAACAGCACUCGCUUUGGCAUUGCGGCUAAAUACAAGUUGGAUUCCACUGCUUCUAUCUCUGCAAAAGUGAACAAUUCUAGUCUAGUUGGAGUGGGCUACACCCAGACCCUGAGGCCAGGUGUGAAGCUUACACUGUCUGCCCUGAUAGAUGGAAAGAGCAUCAAUGCUGGUGGCCAUAAACUUGGUCUUGGCCUGGAAUUGGAGGCUUAAAAAGGUGAAGAAACUGCUGCAGAGAAGGGAUAUCAGAAGAAUUUGGCCUUAAAAUGUAUUUCCAAUGUGACCAGCAGGCUUUUUUUCCAAGAAGGAUGACCUAGAACAAGAGCUGUAUUUGAAGUAUUUAGACAGUUACUUGUUAGCUGGUUUCUAGUUAAAUUGGUUACCCAUCUAGUAAAAUUCUGCAUUAGUGCAGUCACUUAAACAUUAUUUAAAUGUAUUUAACUGUUUAAUGCGCUACCCACAAAUAAUGAAAUAGACAUUUAUGAAAACUGUACAAUUGUGUGCAUGUUUGUUUUUAUGUUCCUUUUAACAUUCGAUAUUGCCAUUGAAUGAAAAAUGGAUCAGUGGAUGUUUUGAAAUGAGGUCAACAAUUUUGUUAAAUCACCUGAAGUAGAAAUACAUUUGGUAUCCCAAGACAAAUUAUGAAUAAAACAAGUACACACACAUACUUGUGCCUCAGAUAUUUUAAGAGUUAAGAUAUGAGGGUAGUGCUCAGUUAAGUUUUAACUUAAAAUAAUCCAAGGAGUAGUGCUCUAUACCCUUGUGCAAUUAAGGAUCCCCACCCAUGACAACACUGAAUAUAGAUGGUUUUCACUGAACAGUUGGACUCCUCAAGCCAGUUGAAUGUGCUUUUCUGUCAGGUAAGACUUGUCGUGACACAACGGUUUAAUUCCCCGUGUUCCACGGGCAAGAUUUACUGCAUUACCAGUUGGCCUCCUGAUGCAAAGAGUGCAGAAUGAUGUACUUGGUACACUGAGACAUUUAAGAACUGCUCCUCGAUGCUUUUGCCCAAGGGGUGACAAACCUCACCACAAACACACCUUUUGCUUAUAUUUGUAUGAAGUGAGAUGUGUAUCUGCAACUGAAUGUAACAGUGUAAUGGUUUAACAGCCUGCUUAUCCCAACUGCUGUGAGAGGUUUCUGCUUAAAAUGACUGAAAUAAAGGCUAAAUUUUAAAUGGAGAUGGAGGAAAAUGCAUGCGACUUUGCUUUCCCUUUGGCAAAUAAAUCUUGGCGCAUACCCUUUUAAGUCCAGAAACAAGCAUAACAACAGAAAAUCUAUUAUAUUUUUUCCAGGAUAGCAUUAAGAGAGAAUAGAAAUACGAGGGCUAUUUGGUCUGUGAACGCCCCUUAAGGUCAUAUGUAACUAGCUAUGAAUACUUUUAAUGUGGAAUAUAUUAAAUACAUGCAGUUACAGUGCUUAUGUUUACUGGGCUCAGGGGAGCACCUGGAGCCCACCUCUUGCAGUCUCUCAUAGCUGAGAAGGGUAUCUUGAUACUUAGUCUUGCAGGCUGCAGGUCACAGCAGCUUCCUUUACAGGGCAGGUGGCUAGCUUGCAAUCAGGAAGCUUUAUCUCUGGUUUGCAAGCUGUGUUCGGUUCAUGCUGGAUUAGACUUAACCCCCAUAAAAUUUGUCAUGGUUUGCUCAAGGUCUUAUCCCAUCCUGCAUUGUUGCCCUCAUACUCAAGUUCUUGAGUACUGUGUUGUAAACUGUGUUUUAGGCUUUAGCUGUGGAGUAGCUGAGCCACCUGUUUUGCAGAAGAUAGAUAGAGCGGAGCUUAAGCUUCUAGCUCAGGCUCUUGAGCAGGCUUGCUAGUGUAUUUUACUAUUUUAUUUUUUUUUUUUACAUGACAAAGAAGGGUUUGGCAGCAUUUGUGCUUUGGAGUACCUUCACUGCUGUUGUCACUAAAUGCCCUUUUCUGAGGAGCACUUCCAUGGCUUGGUGAUGGAAGCAGCAUGUAAGCUGUUUUUCCUGGUCACAAAAUGGGCAAGUGAGAUAAAAGCAGAUAUUGCGUUUUCUCUUCAACUCUUCAUACAAGUUGGUAAGGGAAAACUUGAACCUACCGAUUUUACUCUGUUUUCAUGUGCUUCACUUUACUAGUCCACGGCCUUUAAACCUUAAUUAGUUUCAUUCGUUACAAUGCUGAUAGGCAACUGGAGAAAUAAGAGCUCUGCAGUAGUUAAGACAACUGUCAAAUGUGAGUUUUCCUAAAAUACUCAUAAAUCACUCUUUCAAGCAUGAAAAGGAAGUUCAGUGUCUAUCUCUUGACAUCUCUCAAGUCAGGCAUACAAAAAUGGCUUUCAGACUUUCAAGUGUGUUACAGAAGCUGGUGGUGUAGUUGGAGUUUUGUGGUAAGGAAUGUCAGUAGUUUAAAUAGCUCCAUUUUGUUAGAACAUGUAAAAAGCCUUAAUGAUAACUUUCAGUGCUAGCCAGCCUUUCCUCAGGUGUCAUUCUGAACAAAAUAAAAACGCUCGAGAUCACUGAGAUCACCAAUGACCUGAGUGUGGCUGGGCAUCUUCUUUGUGUGGGCUGCAGCAUUGCAUUUUUUUUUUCAUUCCUGCCUGGUACAGCUGGAGUAGGGGUUGUUUGUGUGCAUAUUGCAAGGAGACUUCAUCACACUUCAGUAAAUAAAAAUCCUUUCACAUGAGAUGGACACCUUGGAUUUUGCAAGUUACUGUCUGAGUGACUUCAACAUCUAUGUUCUUGCUGUGCUCUAGAAAUUCUCCAGGUUGUUUCAAUUGACCUUGCACUCCUUACGUGGUUCAGCUUGGUGUGGUAUAUUCUUAAAUCUGCUUCUUGCACUCUGCAGUCAUUCAAAACCAGGAAAUUUUUUGGAACUAUUUCAGAAUGGGCAUGGAAACAUUUCACCCCCAAACACUGGGACACAGGUUUUUACCUUUCCCUUGUCUGUUGCUGGGGUAGAGCCAGGUAGCAAUAGAGUGUGCUAUCUUACUGCCCUCUCAAGGCCCUGUUCUGCCCUUCGGCUUUAUUACUGCAAUAAUUUGUCUGCCGGGCACAAAGAUGCAUUUAAAUCUACGGUGACUGCACUUCUGUAGGAAGUAGAACCGAGCAAACAGAAGACAGCCCACGCAUGGAUGAUUCAGCCCUGCUUGUCUCAAAGGUCCUUGCUUCCUUACCAUACCAGUCAGCAAGGACAGAAGCAAUUCUAGGCAAGGUAGGCCAGUAAUGGUGGCAAAUUCUGGGUCGCGCCUGUGGCAGCAGUGUCUUAAGGGCAGGUACAAAUGCUUCCUGUGAACCGGCAGAAAGGAACACCCAAAGACAAAGCUGGCUGGGUUGUUCAUG